rnacentral:misc_RNA from 1 species
GGAAGGAUCAUUAACACUGAUGUGGUCCUCGGACUGCAACACACACCCUCAAACAACAUGUGAACCUGACUGAACGUACGAGUCCGGGCGCGCGCGCCCGAACUCCAUAUUUUCACCACACACACACGAAACAAACUAAAGCGUUUUCUAACAAAAUUACAACUCUUAGCAAUGGAUAUCUUGGUUCCCACAACGAUGAAGAACGCAGCGAAAUGCGAUACGUAAUGCGAAUUGCAGAAUUCAGUGAAUCAUCAAAUCUUUGAACGCAAGUUGCGCUCUCGGGAUAUCCCUGUGAGCAUGCCUCUUUGAGUGUCGGUUUCCAAUUGUUCGCCCUUGCGGUGAGAGAAUGAGCCUUGGCGCCCCCUGGCGCGCCAUGUCUUCAAGUUUGCCGCUGCCCGCGGCGAUCCCCGAUCCUGACAGCUAGUCGGCGCACAUCUCUUGAAAAUCAGAUGCGGCCGCGUCACGUGAUCACACCAACACAAGAUCUCAAAUGAGGUAAGACUACCCGCCGAAUUUAAGCAUAUAAUUAAGCGGAGGAAAAGAAACUAACUAGGAUUCCCUCAGUAACGGCGAGUGAAGCGGGAAGAGCUCAAACCGAAAAUCACCGUCCUCGUGGCGGCGAAUUGUGGUCUAUUGAAGCGUGUCUCAGUGUCCAGUCCCGGCCUAAAUCAAUUGGAACAUUGUAUCAGAGAGGGUGAGAAUCCCGUCUUUGGCUGGGGUCCUGGCGCGUUCGAGCCGUUCUCAAAGAGUCGGGUUGCUUGGGAGUGCAGCCCUAAGUGGGUGGUAAAUUUCAUCUAAAGCUAAAUACAUGUGGGAGACCGAUAGCGAACAAGUACCGUGAGGGAAAGAUGAAAAGAACUUUGAAAAGAGAGUUAAAAAGUACUUGAAAUUGCUGAGAACGAAGGGAUGGCGACUAGUAUUGGCUCGGGUGAUACUUACCGUUGGGCGUGUCGCCGGCGGCGCCGGGAAUUGGCUUGCCUUUCCCGGGGCUGUUGUGCGGCGCGUCGAGCGGGUCCUGUCACCUGGGCCUAGGUCAGAAUGGGUUCGCUUCGAUCGAAAACUCAGACGGCAAGGUAGCUCGGGCUUCGGCCCUUGAACUUAUAGGCCGGCUGCGCGAGAUCGUCGCGGUCCGAGGUGUCGAAACAUGCGCUGUUAAAGCUCUUGGCGCAGUCCCUGCUGUGUUGCCGUCGGCGUUGGGGAACAAAGUUCCGUCUCGUUUGGCGGUGCGCACCCGGGGACCUGCACAUUUGUCAUGUUCGCGAUUCUGACGAAAUGGUCGUCAUUCACCCGUCUUGAAACACGGACCAAGGAGUCUUACAUAUAUGCGAGUAAUCAAGUGGAAAACUUGCUUGCGCAAUGAAGGUGAAAGAAUGUGAUGCUCGUCGCGAGGCGGGCAGCAACAUCGGGCGGCUAAAAUAACUGUACGACCAUGAGCAUAUCUGUAGGGACCCGAAAGAUGGUGAACUAUGCUUGAGCAGGAUGAAGCCAGGGGAAACUCUGGUGGAAGUCCGAAGCGAUACUGACGUGCAAAUCGUUCGUCUGACUUGAGUAUAGGGGCGAAAGACUAAUCGAACUAUCUAGUAGCUGGUUCCCUC